rnacentral:lncRNA from 1 species
CCACAUCCACACGCUGCGUUUUGCCCCCACGUACAUACCUGACGCAUCACUUGAUUGAUUUAUUUAUUUAUUAUAAAAAAAAUCUCUAAAAAAAUCACUUAAAUAAAUAAUCCAAACACUGUCUUUUAAUUGAUGAUUGAUCGCUGAAGCCUGAAGACCUGAAGUCGUAGUGCUGCUACUGCUGGUAGAAAGUAGAAACCAGACCCGAAAAAGGGGAAAAAAAAGAAAAAAUAAAAAUAAAAAUAAAAAAUAAAAGCGCUUUCAAAAGCAACACUCACCCGUCUUUCUCUCUCUACAGCUUUCAGCUUCCCUCAUAAAAAUAAUUUUUGUUUAAAAAAAAACCAUAAAAGUCAUUUUCUGCUCAGUAAGCAAGCAAGCAAGCUUCCAACUGGAUACUGUGUCUAUACGUUGGUUCAACUUCUUCAAGCUAGAGUUCUUAGCUUUUUCUUUUGCCUAGCUGAAAUUUUGAGAUCUGGUGGGGAAUUAGGGUUUCAGUUCAAAAUUUGGGGAUUUGAGCUGAUUAUUGGAGCUAGGGUUUAGCUUCGAGUGAGUUGCAAAAUGCGGUAAUUUGUGGAGGGUUUUGGUGUAAGGGAAGAUCUGAGGCUUUAUGAGGCUGAAGAGGGUAGUGGCUUGUAGUGGCACUGGUUUUGGAUGAUUAGAAUUUAAUUUGUAUACAUAUAUUUUUGUGGGUAUUUGGGGGGG